GUACAAAGGGAAAACAAUCAGUUUUGUUAUGGUUAGUGGGCUUCACAACAACGUGUAUUUGAGGCGUUUUCAUGCGUCUUGUUAUAGUAGACAAUUCCACCCAAUUUCAUGUCGAUUGGUGAAACCUGUGAAGGUAUACUCCCAAGCAAGAAUCAAGUAUCAAGGACUUUUGAGGGUACCACAAGGGUAGCACGCGAGUGAUGAAUCACUGCACCCCAAAAGGGCACAGAAGCUGAGGACUGAGACUCAGCCUGUAUUAUAACCAGGGACCUCACCUCUCAUACCCGAAUCCCAGCGAGUCACGUAUUGAAGGUGUGGUGAGUCCUUCAACAAAUAUGGCCGAUAUGUUCAGCAAGCAGAUGAACAGUUGUUGUCCACUUGUGUGAUGGGUUACUGAGAUGCACAAACUGCAUCUGAUGCAAUGCCAGCUGCAUCCAUUUUCAUACAUUUACAGCAUUGAAAACCUCACAAGUGCUGCUUGUGUGUGUUCCUACCUACCCGUGUGUGUGUGUGUCGAGAAUGAGUUCAUUCUUUUCAAGGGGGUCAGUAUGGCGACAAUUUUGGCCAAUGAUGUAUCCUCGGCGGUGCGGCCCGGCAUUUCUCAACUGUCAUCACCAUGCCGCCUCAAUUACUUUGAAGGAUUGUCCGGGACAAGGUCGUUGGCUCACACACACGGCAUUAGUGUGAGCUUAAUUGCCUACUAGCCACUGGAUACUUUUUCAGGUACACCUGCACUAAUAAGUCUCAGUUUUGAUCCCGUUGAUUUAACAGUAUGUUUAUUAGUGUGGUUGUAGUCUUAGUGUACUCGGUUUAAGUAUCUCCCAUAGAAUGUUCAUUACGUUCAAAAAAAGGGUAAUCAACUGUCAAGAUAAUGCAAGGAAAGAGAGAUGGAGAAUCCAGGGCACGAGCUAAAUUGUGCAAACGUCAAAACUGUCUUUCACAUUGCGCUCGCCUUUCUUCUGGGUUCAUUCGAGUGUUGCAUGCAGCAAUCCGAGUUCAAGCACACUCGGGAGGAUUGCACAUGAAACGUUAAGGCUUGUUCUUAAGCUUUUGGGCCAGUUUAACUUGGAAAUAAGGAGAUAAG